rnacentral:rRNA from 1 species
GACGAACGCUGGCGGCGUGCUUAACACAUGCAAGUCGAGCGGUAAGGCCCUUUCGGGGGUACACGAGCGGCGAACGGGUGAGCAACACGUGGGUGACCUGCCCUCAGCUCUGGGAUAAGCCUGGGAAACCGGGUCUAAUACUGGAUAUGACUCCAUGACGCAUGUUGUGGGGUGGAAAGCCUUGUGCGGCUGAGGAUGGGCCCGCGGCCUAUCAGCUUG